AUCCAACCGAUUUGAUUCACAUAAUUAAAAAGAAACUUUAGACAUUUAAAUAACAUGUAUUGAAUUAGUUGCCACACACUAAAUACGCCUUUGGGCCCCUUGGUGGCUACAGGAUAAACAAUUCGCUAACUAUUGUGGCGAAUUGAAAACUAUCGCGAAAUGCCCAAGAGGUACCGCAAGCUAUAGUUUCAUUCAGCUUGUGGCAGAAAUAUCCAUAACUAGCAGUGUAUGAAGUUUAAGUAAAACAAUGAUUCACAAUGGCAGCGCUGUUGCAAUUGCAGUUGCAGUUGCAGUUUCAACAAAAGAAGCUGCCUAGGGCCGGCAUAUUACCCGCAUUAUUUCCAUCAGCAUUAGGAGAAAUACCGCAAAAGGAGUCGUGCCAUAAUCACCGACAACAUUAUUAGCGGUGUAACCGAAGGACACAGCAUAAGGAGACCGAGGUUUGCCGCAACUUGCCAAGCGCAAUUUACCCAUGGUUUCCCGUUUUUUUAUUGGACUAGAAGAGCUGCAAAGUGUGGCAGGCAACAAGAUGCCCCUCAAUUAGCUGGUCGCAUUAAAAUAGGGGCAAGUCCCCUUUUUUCCUUUUGUUUGACUUUUGUACAAUUGUGGGAAAAAGUAGGCCAUUGUUUUUGAGUGAUUUGAAGAUAUGUUCCGCCAGGAAAAUAAUUUGAGGAAUUGCUGAUCGCUGAUACGCUGCGAAGGGAGUUGGACAAAUGCCUAGCACUCGACGGCAUUUAAAUGAAAUGCCAAUGUAUCUCCGCACACACAAAACACAGCGGUCUGCCGCCUAGCGGAGAUAUCGAAAGCUGUUUCAACGACAACCAUCUGAAAGAUUGCUCCCAGUAUGCUUGAUUUAUUUAUAACACAUGCUACGCAUCGCAUACGCUUAUGAAAUUCACAAAAUAAGGACACGAAAAUCACGAAAGAAGAUGGCACAAGAAAAAAAAUAACUGAAACUGAAAAAGGGAAUCGGCAAUAAGAACAAGAACAAAAGCAAAAACAACAACAACAAAUACAAGACAGACGGAGAGACAGGAUAUAGAGGGACAAACGACAUAAAAAGCGACAUCAUCCAAUCAAUUUAUGCGCCAAUGUCUCCAGUGGGUGGGCCUUUCCACAAAGACCUUCUGGGGUUCUCCCCGAGAUUGAAAACUGGAUAAUUGGAAGUGGGUUGAGAGUCGAGUCGAGUUGAGAGUUCCCCUUCCCUCCUCCCUCACUUUCUCCAUCUCUCCAUCUUUCUCUUUUAUGGGCCUUCGUAAUAUUAUCUUUAAAAAAUCAUUUCGGUUAAAUCGAAAUUGAGGAGCGCAAAUAUCGCAGUGACUAUCGAGUCUUUGCCUGAUACAUAUUAAGGGCACACACACUACCACACACAAAUUACCAUAAUUGCAAACUAGCCACAUAGGUGUAGACUGUCACCCCUCUCUCACCCACUCCCCAGUCCCCCUGCUCAGCAAUUUCUGCACAAUAAACUCAUCAGCUGAAAAAGGUUGCGUCCGCCUGGGCAAAAGAACUUGUCAUCAUUAUCAUCUUCAUCUUCAUCUUCAUUUUCAUUCUCAUCUUCAUGUUUAUCUCCAUCUUCAUUAUUGUGUAGCGAAAGCCGAACUUCAAUUUCAACUUAAAUUCUCAAUUCAGGCGAAUGCAAUAGGGCUUUUCAGUGCUCAGUUGUUGCUGUUGUUAUUGUAACGCUUUCAAAGUUAUUUGCUGUCCAUUUCCAAACAUUAAACCAGAGUGACUUGAAUAAAUUUCAUAUUUGAAAGCCUCACACACACACAAAGAGGGGGAAACAGGGAUAGGAAGGGAGUCAUGGGCAGCAAAGUGGAAGGCGGAAAUAUCCAAAGCAAAGUAAGCCAACAUGGCUAAUAUCAUGUGUGGCAGCCACUUUGCUGAGGUCAGCGGUGGGGAGGUGGAGUGGUGGGACGACGGUGCGGCAGUAGCAGUCAGCUCAGAGCCUGAGGUAGGCACAUACUCUUGUGUUUGUGUGUGUCUCUCUUCGGACUGUGUGUGUAUGUGUGUGCUUGGGCAUAAACCAAAAAUUUCUAUACGCUGAUGCAGCAAUUUCCGGCCGGAGUGAAAGUGGUGCGUGCGACAACAGUAGCUGACAGUGGGCGUGGCACCGCCGCCCCCUCACCAGCAGUCAGCAGUCAGGACGUCAGGCAGCCAGGCCACUCAAGAAUUUGGUCGAAAUAGCUGAUAUGGCUAUUGCGAAACUGAUGCCAUUAACAGACGCAAAUUUUAUUCUCGAAUAUUCAUACACUUGACAGUGGUUUCGCCUGUCGUCUCCACUCCAUCUCUCCUGAGUCCCCUCUUUCUCCACCAGUCUCACUUUCGCCUUACGACUGACCGCCAACGGCAUUCCGUAUUCCAUUCUCUGUAUUCUGUAUUCUGUGUUCGGUAUUCGGGCAACUCUUCAGAUUGGCAGUAUAUUUUUUUUGUUGCCAGCUUGCCUCUUAAAUAUUUUGAAAAUUGAAGCAGUGGCAACCUCUGCGACAGUUGCAACAGCAGCAACAUCAGCAGCAAAAGACUAGUUGCACUUGCCACAGCAGAGCAGAAAAAAAAAUUGGGAAAAUUAUGAGUACAGAUAUGGGGCGUGUCAGCCAAAGUUGAGGUAUGUGAACUUUCAGCUGGAAUCGACUGCUAAAGGAAAAUAAAGGAACACAGCAAAAGGGAGAGAUAGAAAGCAGCGAAAGAGUCAUUGAAAAACAUUCCCUCUGGAAAAGUAUGUGGGAAGUGGUCUUUGCUAGCCGAUGAUAAAAUAUGGAUAGGUAUCAUCGUCGAUUCAUUCGC